CCCAGAGUCACAGGACAGCGGAGUCCUAGUGACGGCAGCCUCCCCAGUCACUUGGCUGGAGACAGUCAGCGGACAAGAUGCUCUGCUGCUUUCCCAAGGGUCAGGGCCGCAGUCCCAGGACCCCGCGAAGGGAAAGCACUUGGCAACGAGUGCGAGGAUGGAUCGCUCAGCCCAGGUGCUUCAGGCCACUGGGCAGGAACCUCCCAACUGCCAUGGGCAGCGCAGGGCAGGUCUCCCCAGCCCCAGCCCCCAGGUGCUCUGAGAUGAACGGGAGCCCAGAGCAGGUCUCCCUGGGCCUGGCCGCCAGACACCUGGAGCCACUGAGUCCAGAACCGGACAGUUUAGUCCUGGCCAGCACUAUUGGAAACCAGGCGGCCGAGGGCCUGGCAGAGGUCUGCACAGCGAGGACGGAGGCGGCAGGCACACAGUGCACCACGACGGAGCCCCUGGAGCAGGCCUUCGUGGACAGCUGCCCCAUCCCUGGGACCCACUUCCCGGACCCCAUGAGGGCCGACACUUCCUCCCCAGAGGAGGCCAUGGUGGGAAGGUCCACGUCCGAUGUCCCUGAGUCCUCACUGGAGCUGCACUGCCACGAGGAUCCCCCGGCUGAACUGGCUCUGCAGGAGCACUCAGAGCCCACUGAGGCAGAGCCCGAGCGUGAGGACUGGGCCGCAGGGCCAGCUCCAGCCCAAGCUGAAGUCCCACCUGUGGAGCCUGCGCCAGCUCCACCUGCAGCUCCGUCCCCCGCUCUGGCCUCACAGCGAGAGCCAGCCUCAGGCAGCCCUUGUGCACCAGCUGCAGGUCCAGGGCUCCUGGUGGCUCCACAGCAGGGCUCAGCUCCUGAGCUCCCCCCGGGGCCAGCCCCUGCCCCACCCCUACCCUUCCCCUCCAUCACUGUGGGGCAUGUUUUCGCAUAUGUUCUCUCCCUUCUCUUCUGGAUCUACAUGAAUAACAGAAUUCUUUUUAAUAAAAGUUAAGGAUUUUGGUCUGGUUCUAAACAAUCAGCAUUGUGGUGUGCAGUGCAUUCUCGGUGCUGUGCACCCAGCACCGCUGUCCAGGUCCGGAGCAUUCUCCUCAGCGCUGUGCCCGUGAGCGGCUCCUCCACUGCCCCCG
rnacentral:lncRNA from 1 species